rnacentral:lncRNA from 1 species
AUGAUAUCAUAACUUUUAUUUGUUGGAUCUUCGACAAAAUUUAAGAGAAAGUAAAGGGAUUUAUUUUGUCCUUAAGGAAAAGAAAAACAACAAUUUCUAUUUUAUGUCCGAGAAGAUGAAGAAGUAGUCCGAAAGAGAAGCACCAAUCACAGCCCCAUAUCCAAUUCAUCUUUCCACCUGUUUCAGUUUUCACAUCCCAUUACUACGAUCUGCUUCAAAAUUACAACCCUAAACAAUUCUCUCUUUGGAGAAGAAGAAGAACAACAAAUUCAAAUGUCUCGUUAAUACCUCUAUACAAGGCAGUUUUUCCAAAACAAGCAAAAAAACACCGGACUAACUUUUCGUCUUCUUCCUUCAUCUCUGGCUUUGUUUUUGCAGUUUUUGGCUUGCAUGCCGUUUCUUUCAUCCAUUUCCUUCGUGGGUUUUUCCUUUUGGGCUCCCUCUUUGAGCCAUGGCGGCUAAAAAGCUCUGUGAAACCUUCUCCAAGACC